UGCCCGAUGGUGUAACGGUAGCACGACUGCCUCUGGAGCAGUUUGUCGGGGUUCGAAUCCCUGUCGGGCAACCA
rnacentral:tRNA from 4 species